UUUUUUAGUGAGCUUUGUUCA
rnacentral:piRNA from 1 species